AGCGUACACGGUGGAUGCCCUGGCAGUCAGAGGCGAUGAAGGACGUGCUAAUCUGCGAAAAGCGCCGGUAAGGUGAUAUGAACCGUUAUAACCGGCGAUGUCCGAAUGGGGAAACCCGGUGCACUUCGGUGCAUCAUCGUUAGCUGAAUACAUAGGCUAACGAGGCGAACCGGGGGAACUGAAACAUCUAAGUACCCCGAGGAAAAGAAAUCAACCGAGAUUCCCCCAGUAGCGGCGAGCGAACGGGGAACAGCCCAGAGCCUGAAUCAGCUUGUGUGUCAGUGGAACGGUCUGGAAAGGCCGGCGAUACAGGGUGACAGCCCCGUACACGAAGGCACACAGGCUGUGAGCUCGAUGAGUAGGGCGGGACACGUGAUAUCCUGUCUGAAGAUGGGGGGACCAUCCUCCAAGGCUAAAUACUCCUGACUGACCGAUAGUGAACCAGUACCGUGAGGGAAAGGCGAAAAGAACCCCGGCGAGGGGAGUGAAACAGAACCUGAAACCGUGUACGUACAAGCAGUGGGAGCCUUCGUAAGAGGGUGACUGCGUACCUUUUGUAUAAUGGGUCAGCGACUUAUAUUCUGUAGCAAGGUUAACCGUAUAGGGGAGCCGAAGGGAAACCGAGUCUUAACCGGGCGUUAAGUUGCAGGGUAUAGACCCGAAACCCGGUGAUCUAGCCAUGGGCAGGUUGAAGGUUGGGUAACACUAACUGGAGGACCGAACCGACUAAUGUUGAAAAAUUAGCGGAUGACCUGUGGCUGGGGGUGAAAGGCCAAUCAAACCGGGAGAUAGCUGGUUCUCCCCGAAAGCUAUUUAGGUAGCGCCUCGUGAACUCAUCUCCGGGGGUAGAGCACUGUUUCGGCUAGGGGGCCAUCCCGGCUUACCAACCCGAUGCAAACUGCGAAUACCGGAGAAUGUUAUCACGGGAGACACACGGCGGGUGCUAACGUCCGUCGUGAAGAGGGAAACAACCCAGACCGCCAGCUAAGGUCCCAAAGUCAUGGUUAAGUGGGAAACGAUGUGGGAAGGCCCAGACAGCCAGGAUGUUGGCUUAGAAGCAGCCAUCAUUUAAAGAAAGCGUAAUAGCUCACUGGUCGAGUCGGCCUGCGCGGAAGAUGUAACGGGGCUAAACCAUGCACCGAAGCUGCGGCAGCGACGCUUAUGCGUUGUUGGGUAGGGGAGCGUUCUGUAAGCCUGUGAAGGUGUGCUGUGAGGCAUGCUGGAGGUAUCAGAAGUGCGAAUGCUGACAUAAGUAACGAUAAAGCGGGUGAAAAGCCCGCUCGCCGGAAGACCAAGGGUUCCUGUCCAACGUUAAUCGGGGCAGGGUGAGUCGACCCCUAAGGCGAGGCCGAAAGGCGUAGUCGAUGGGAAACAGGUUAAUAUUCCUGUACUUGGUGUUACUGCGAAGGGGGGACGGAGAAGGCUAUGUCGGCCGGGCGACGGUUGUCCCGGUUUAAGCGUGUAGGCUGACUUUCCAGGCAAAUCCGGAAAGUUAAGGCUGAGGCGUGAUGACGAGGCACCACGGUGCUGAAGUGACAAAUGCCCUGCUUCCAGGAAAAGCCUCUAAGCAUCAGGUAACAUCAAAUCGUACCCCAAACCGACACAGGUGGUCAGGUAGAGAAUACCAAGGCGCUUGAGAGAACUCGGGUGAAGGAACUAGGCAAAAUGGUGCCGUAACUUCGGGAGAAGGCACGCUGACAUGUAGGUGAAGCCCCUGCGGGUGGAGCUGAAGUCAGUCGAAGAUACCAGCUGGCUGCAACUGUUUAUUAAAAACACAGCACUGUGCAAACACGAAAGUGGACGUAUACGGUGUGACGCCUGCCCGGUGCCGGAAGGUUAAUUGAUGGGGUUAUCGCAAGAGAAGCUCCUGAUCGAAGCCCCGGUAAACGGCGGCCGUAACUAUAACGGUCCUAAGGUAGCGAAAUUCCUUGUCGGGUAAGUUCCGACCUGCACGAAUGGCGUAAUGAUGGCCAGGCUGUCUCCACCCGAGACUCAGUGAAAUUGAACUCGCUGUGAAGAUGCAGUGUACCCGCGGCAAGACGGAAAGACCCCGUGAACCUUUACUACAGCUUGACACUGAACAUUGAGCCUUGAUGUGUAGGAUAGGUGGGAGGCUUUGAAGCGUGGACGCCAGUCUGCGUGGAGCCGACCUUGAAAUACCACCCUUUAAUGUUUGAUGUUCUAACCUGGCGCCGUGAUCCGGCGUGGGGACAGUGUCUGGUGGGUAGUUUGACUGGGGCGGUCUCCUCCCAAAGUGUAACGGAGGAGCACGAAGGUCAGCUAAUCCUGGUCGGACAUCAGGAGGUUAGUGCAAUGGCAUAAGCUGGCUUGACUGCGAGAGUGACGGCUCGAGCAGGUGCGAAAGCAGGUCAUAGUGAUCCGGUGGUUCUGUAUGGAAGGGCCAUCGCUCAACGGAUAAAAGGUACUCCGGGGAUAACAGGCUGAUACCGCCCAAGAGUUCAUAUCGACGGCGGUGUUUGGCACCUCGAUGUCGGCUCAUCACAUCCUGGGGCUGAAGUAGGUCCCAAGGGUAUGGCUGUUCGCCAUUUAAAGUGGUACGCGAGCUGGGUUUAGAACGUCGUGAGACAGUUCGGUCCCUAUCUGCCGUGGGCGCUGGAGAAUUGAGGGGGGCUGCUCCCAGUACGAGAGGACCGGAGUGGACGCAUCACUGGUGUUCGGGUUGUCAUGCCAAUGGCACUGCCCGGUAGCUAAAUGCGGAAGAGAUAAGUGCUGAAAGCAUCUAAGCACGAAACUUGCCCCGAGAUGAGUUCU
rnacentral:rRNA from 1 species